rnacentral:rRNA from 1 species
CCUACGGGUGGCUGCAGUGGGGAAUUUUGGACACUGGGCGCAAGCCUGAUCCAGCUAUUCCGCGUGUGGGAAGACGGCCUUCGGGUUGUAAACCACUUUUGUAGAGAACGAAAAGUAUAUUGAUAAUACCGAUAGACGAUGACGGUACUCUAAGAAUAAGCACCGGCUAACUACGUGCCAGCAGCCGCGGUAAUACGUAGGGUGCGAGCGUUAAUCGGAAUUACUGGGCGCAAAGGGUGUGCAGGUGGUUUUGCAAGAUGGAUGUGAAAGCCCCGGGCUUAACCUGGGAAAGCCAUACAUGACUGCAAGACUAGAGUGCGUCAGAGGGGGGUGGAAGUCCAAGUGUAGCAGUGAAAUGCGUAGAUAUCACGCAGAACCCCGAUUGCGAAGGCAGCAUGCCGGCUUCCGACUGACGCUGAAGCACGAAAGCGUGGGGAUCGAACAGGAUUAGAUACCCGAGUAGUC